CUCGGGUGAAGGAACUAGGCAAAAUGGUGCCGUAACUUCGGGAGAAGGCACGCUGACAUGUAGGUGAAGCCCCUGCGGGUGGAGCUGAAGUCAGUCGAAGAUACCAGCUGGCUGCAACUGUUUAUUAAAAACACAGCACUGUGCAAACACGAAAGUGGACGUAUACGGUGUGACGCCUGCCCGGUGCCGGAAGGUUAAUUGAUGGGGUUAUCGCAAGAGAAGCUCCUGAUCGAAGCCCCGGUAAACGGCGGCCGUAACUAUAACGGUCCUAAGGUAGCGAAAUUCCUUGUCGGGUAAGUUCCGACCUGCACGAAUGGCGUAAUGAUGGCCAGGCUGUCUCCACCCGAGACUCAGUGAAAUUGAACUCGCUGUGAAGAUGCAGUGUACCCGCGGCAAGACGGAAAGACCCCGUGAACCUUUACUACAGCUUGACACUGAACAUUGAGCCUUGAUGUGUAGGAUAGGUGGGAGGCUUUGAAGCGUGGACGCCAGUCUGCGUGGAGCCGACCUUGAAAUACCACCCUUUAAUGUUUGAUGUUCUAACCUGGCGCCGUGAUCCGGCGUGGGGACAGUGUCUGGUGGGUAGUUUGACUGGGGCGGUCUCCUCCCAAAGUGUAACGGAGGAGCACGAAGGUCAGCUAAUCCUGGUCGGACAUCAGGAGGUUAGUGCAAUGGCAUAAGCUGGCUUGACUGCGAGAGUGACGGCUCGAGCAGGUGCGAAAGCAGGUCAUAGUGAUCCGGUGGUUCUGUAUGGAAGGGCCAUCGCUCAACGGAUAAAAGGUACUCCGGGGAUAACAGGCUGAUACCGCCCAAGAGUUCAUAUCGACGGCGGUGUUUGGCACCUCGAUGUCGGCUCAUCACAUCCUGGGGCUGAAGUAGGUCCCAAGGGUAUGGCUGUUCGCCAUUUAAAGUGGUACGCGAGCUGGGUUUAGAACGUCGUGAGACAGUUCGGUCCCUAUCUGCCGUGGGCGCUGGAGAAUUGAGGGGGGCUGCUCCCAGUACGAGAGGACCGGAGUGGACGCAUCACUGGUGUUCGGGUUGUCAUGCCAAUGGCACUGCCCGGUAGCUAAAUGCGGAAGAGAUAAGUGCUGAAAGCAUCUAAGCACGAAACUUGCCCCGAGAUGAGUUCUCCCUGAGACUGUAAGUCUCCUGAAGGAACGUUGAAGACGACGACGUUGAUAGGCCGGGUGUGUAAGCGCAGCGAUGCGUUGAGCUAACCGGUACUAAUGAACCGUGAGGCUUAACCUU
rnacentral:rRNA from 1 species